GAUGAAGAACGUAGCGAAAUGCGAUAAGUAAUGUGAAUUGCAGAAUUCAGUGAAUCAUCGAAUCUUUGAACGCACAUUGCGCCCCUUGGUAUUCCGAGGGGCAUGCCUGUUCGAGCGUCAUUAUAACCCCUCAAGCUUAGCUUGGUGUUGGGGCCUGCUGUAAUAGAGCAGCCCUUAAAAUCAGUGGCGGUGCCAUUAGGCUCUAAGCGUAGUAAUACUCCUCGCGAUUGAGUCCGGUAGGUUUACUUGCCAGCAACCCCCAAUUUUUACAGGUUGACCUCGGAUCAGGUAGGGAUACCCGCUGAACUUAAGCAUAUCAAUAAGCGGAGGA
rnacentral:misc_RNA from 1 species